rnacentral:rRNA from 1 species
UCUGCAGGUGGUUUCUUAAGUCUACUGUUAAAUCUUGAGGCUCAACCUCAAAUCUGCAGUAGAAACUAGGAGACUUGAGUAUAGUAGGGGUAGAGGGAAUUUCCAGUGGAGCGGUGAAAUGCGUAGAUAUUGGAAAGAACACCGAUGGCGAAGGCACUCUACUGGGCUAUUACUGACACUCAGAGACGAAAGCUAGGGGAGCAAAUG